GUUGGGUAGGGGAGCGUUCUGUAAGCCUGCGAAGGUGUACUGUGAGGUAUGCUGGAGGUAUCAGAAGUGCGAAUGCUGACAUAAGUAACGAUAAUGCGGGUGAAAAACCCGCACGCCGGAAGACCAAGGGUUCCUGUCCAACGUUAAUCGGGGCAGGGUGAGUCGACCCCUAAGGCGAGGCUGAAAAGCGUAGUCGAUGGGAAACGGGUUAAUAUUCCCGUACUGGUGGUAACUGCGAUGGGGGAACGGAGAAGGCUAGGUUGUCCGGGCGACGGUCGUCCCGGUUCAAGCAGGUAGGCAGAGUGAUUAGGCAAAUCCGGUCACUUAAUGCUGAGAUGUGAUGACGAACCACCAAGGUGGUGAAGCAAUUGAUGCCCCGCUUCCAGGAAAAGCCUCUAAGCUUCAGGUUACCAACAAUCGUACCCCAAACCGACACAGGUGGUCAGGUAGAGAAUACUCAGGCGCUUGAGAGAACUCGGGUGAAGGAACUAGGCAAAAUGGUGCCGUAACUUCGGGAGAAGGCACGCUGGCGGUAGGUAAAGUCCCUCGCGGACGGCGCUGAAGCCAGUCGAAGAUACCAGCUGGCUGCAACUGUUUAUUAAAAACACAGCACUGUGCAAACACGAAAGUGGACGUAUACGGUGUGACGCCUGCCCGGUGCUGGAAGGUUAAUUGAUGGGGUCAGCCGUAAGGCGAAGCUCCUGAUCGAAGCCCCAGUAAACGGCGGCCGUAACUAUAACGGUCCUAAGGUAGCGAAAUUCCUUGUCGGGUAAGUUCCGACCUGCACGAAUGGCGUAAUGAUGGCCAGGCUGUCUCCACCCGAGACU
rnacentral:rRNA from 1 species